CCUACGGGGGGCAGCAGUGAGGAAUAUUGGUCAAUGGGCGCGAGCCUGAACCAGCCAAGUAGCGUGAAGGAUGACUGCCCUACGGGUUGUAAACUUCUUUUAUAAAGGAAUAAAGUGAGGCACGUGUGCCUUUUUGUAUGUACUUUAUGAAUAAGGAUCGGCUAACUCCGUGCCAGCAGCCGCGGUAAUACGGAGGAGCCGAGCGUUCUCCGGAUUUAUUGGGUGUAAAGGGAGCGUAGAGGGGGUGUUAAGUCAGGUGUGAAAGUUUGCGGCUCAAUCGGAGAACUGCUGUUGAUACUGGGGAAGUAGAGUGCGGGAGGGUGAAGCGGAAGUGUUAGUGUAGAGGUGAA
rnacentral:rRNA from 1 species